UGCUCGACAUCAGCAGGAGUUUGGCUCUGGGGAAGGUUAACUGAAGGAAGAGGAAACAGAAGGAGGAAUGAAUAAUGUUUCCUAAAAAGACCACAUCCAGUCACCCUGGGAAUUUCGGACUAGAUGCAACGAUAUCCCAAACUAUGAAAGACCUACAAACGUCUGGACAUCCAUCUCCUGAGACCACAGAUCCACCACAUCCAGGAUCAACUAAAGUGCUUACCAGGUGAAGCCACAUCUUCUGAGAGACAAGCCAGCUGAGAUGGUGAGAUGGAUUACAGACCAUCUUACAGAGACCACAGAACUGCAGGUGAUCUCCUCCCCCAGCCGUAUUCUGGCUUUCCCCAUGGCCGAUCAACAGUCUGCUUCGUAGCMCCCACAGUGUGUGACUAAUAUGGACUUUUUGCUUGGAGGAUUAUGUGUCUAAAGAGUGUGUGUGGGUUUGUUUUAGUUUAUUGUGAGGACCCACUGUCCACCAAAUGUAUGUAUUUUUGACUAGCUGUACAGGAAUUUAUGCUAACACUGUUUUUGACGUCCAUCAUGACAAAGUGGGCGGUCUUUUGGGGUGUGUGACAUCACGUGCAAAGGGUCAAUAAAUUCAAUUCAAUUCAAUUUAUUUAUAUAGCACUAAAUCACAACAAUUGUCGUCUCAGGGCACUGUACACA